ACAAUAUCCAUAGUAGUCUGGGCAAAAGCCUUCAAAGCUUACCGUAAUUAAGAAUGGUCUUAAAUUCUA
rnacentral:tRNA from 1 species